rnacentral:piRNA from 1 species
UCUGCACUUUGGUCGUCCUCCUUCUUGAG